GUCCCUGUCGCCGGCAUGCUGUAACCCAGCACCCAAGGUCUUAGCCGUACCACAGGGUAAUCACAACAGUGAAUGUCCCCAUUGCCCAGAACUCGUGACCCAGUUUCUUACACUUGGAUCUGCAAAAUAUAUCAUGAAAAACAUCGUAAUCUUUAUUUUUAUUUAGAAUUUUCAAUGGCCAUGUGACUAUAGCUGGAAUUGCUCCCCAGGGGAAAAAAUGCCCAACAAUUUUUGGAUAAAAUUUGUCCUUUAUAAUAGGUUUCAGUGAGAGGGGAGGGGAGGGGCACUUGACUUCGUUAACAUAACACUGGUUUGGCACCCCGUCCUUGAAAAUCCUUUCAUUUACUGGCAUUUCUCACACACAAGUGCAGCAUUCUGCAGAUGCUUCCUUUUUUUUUUUUUUUUAACCCUUUAACGGUGUGAGAUCACUUAUGAGAUUAGAAUGUUCAUAACUGAGCAUUCUAAUGCUGGCCUAACAAUCACGGCGAGUGACCGAAAGCAGUUGAGUUGUAGAACACUGACUUGUGUUGAAAAAACAUUGCAAAAGAAAAAAAAGGUGUAUACAAGGCCAGACAUCCUGAGCUUUCCCACGUACCAUUUAUAAAAGUGCACGUGAACUCACAUUCACUGAGUACAUCUGGGGUGGCUGGUCACCCCACCCUACCCUGCACACACACACACACACACACACAGUCAGGCUGCCAGUUGAAUAGAUGUACAAUUUUUGUGGUUCCCUCAGGUCAUGGAAAAACGUGGCUAAACGCACAGCUUGGCGGCAGUUCCACAGGGUGUUUCUGUUGGCUGUGUGAAGACUGGUCCAACAAAUGAUUUAAACCUUGCGCCCCACUCACUGUGCAUUGCUCAUCUGGAAGCUGCCGAGCGUCUGUUGACUGGGGUGGAUUGCAUAUUGAGUCUGGCCUGUGGUGUCGAGUGGGGGAAUUUGCAUUAACUCCAGCUGUAAGUGUUGCCCAUAUCAAGAGCCACUCGCCCCUUCCACACAAUUGCUUACUGGCUUAGUGUAAUGGGAGAUUAAUGCAGAGGUUGAGGACAGUUUGGAAAUUGAUGCCAGCUUGGAGUGUGUGCUUGGAUGGUGCAGUCAAAUGGCAAGUUAAUGCCCCAAAGCCCAAGUUUGUAAAAAAUAUCCCUGCAUCCAGCCUAACACUUAUUUGAUUUUUAUUUUUAAUUUUUU